rnacentral:piRNA from 1 species
GACGACUUUCUGAGCAGAAACCA